rnacentral:lncRNA from 1 species
CCCGAAUGCCCCUCUCAUUCUGUCCAUCCUCAGAUGUUAUUUUACUGACUAGAAUUUUUUAACAGCUAAAACCAGGAAAAAAUAUGCUUAACAAUUCAGUACAUUUUCUUACAAAUAAAAGGAGUAAAAUAAAUGUAUAUUCUCCUGCAGAGCCCAUCUGGAAGCCUCCUUACACACCCCUCUGCCACCUGGUGGCAUCUCCUUUUCUCUUGGAUUCCUGGGGUGUCCGCUGAUGUUGCUGUCAGAAAGCAUUGAACUCUUCCCUCCCGCGAUGCAGCAUGUCCGGCUGCCUCGGAUAUUCCCAGACCGGUCCAGCUGCCCAGCUCUUUACCCUCUGAUUCUUCCCUGCUCCUUCUUCCAAGUCGGAGAGGGACACUGGCUUGUUAUCUUUGGACCCCCAGUACAAGGAAAGAAAGAGACAAAAGUCAUAAAACCACAAAUAGGAAGACCAAGCUGGAGCUCGCUCAUCUAACAGAUGUUCCCAUGCCAGCAUCAACCUGGCUUCUCCCACAGCCAGAGGGAAAUCGGUCUUUACUUUCCACAUGGACAGGAAGGUAAAUAUUCAGAUAAUAUGCAGAAGAAAGGUUUAGCUGUGAUAUGAGUUGUGGCUCAGGGAGCCUGGAAACAACUGGUUGUUGAAGCAGGGAGUGUUGAAAUAACAUGUUGUUUUACAGUUCUUCACUGGGAGACUAAUAUUUCAACACAUUUGAAUGACUUCCUUGCAGAAAAAUGCUUAGGCUUAAAACAUGAAGCUGGAUAAGUAACAGGAGCUUCCAAGAGAAAAAUCACUCAACUUAGAUAUAUUCCAUGGCCAAGAAAUUCAGGGUCUGUAGUUAGAAACGUUUCCACCAAGCCCACCUCAUGUUGUCUGUUCUCAAAGAGGAUGACUUUGGAUUGGACCUACUUUUCAAAUAAAACUGUUAGGAGAGUGAGAGACAAAUUUCAGAUUCCUAGUUUGUCAUGAGGGAAUGACUGAGGAAAUUGAUGUUUAAGUGACAAAAUUUGAUUUUCUGACAAUUAGGGAAAUAAAGAUAAAUACUUCUAUCCAAUGCCUACACAAAUCCAUACAUUGAUUGUACAGUGAUUUAGUGAGUACCUGUAUCAAAUAAGUCUUGUGCUAGAGUUUCAUCUACUGAAUUUAAGUGAUGAAUCAGUUGCAUAAAAUUAGAAAUACUCUAAUUUAAGUAGAGAGAAUAUAAUCUUCAUUUUUAUAAUGAAAUUGCUUGGUGGGGGAACUACACUUAUUAGAUCAAUGCCCAUAACUGGAAUGUUGGGUUUUUUCCCAAUAUUUAUUAAUUCUUUACUUACUGUAAGACUUAUAUUCUUACUAUUUUG